UUGUUGAGCUGUCACACAUUAUAGAUACGUAGAAGAGAUCAUACGUCGUCGUCUGACUACAAAACCAGUUUUCCCAAAUGCUUUUAACGUGCAAAAGAGCCUUCCCUCCUAUGUCACAUAGAUGAGCAGAUGAAGAAAAAACUUCUAGUCCAUGGCUUCGAAACUUGGAGCAUACCAACCCAACUGGAAUCGUCAAUGGAAAUGCAAACGAUGAUGACCUUGGAUUUGUUGACACACAGCCUGGAUUUAUCGAUGGGCAAGGUCUGAUUUUUCUGCAAAUUGAAGGGACACACACACAGGUCAUACUGAGCAAACAGAGCAAAGCACAUUGCACAAGGCAGAGGAAGAAAAAACCUCUAAUUUCUCCAUGCCUUCCAACAAAUACAUUCUUUUCAACACAACAUGGAUGUAAAUUAGCAGAAAUAGAAAGAACCCAUUAAAGAGAA